CCCGCCACUAUACAGGUCUGCCUGUGACCGGGUAUAUUCCAGUGGUGAGCUGAGAGCAAACCCCGUCUUAGGAAACAGAGUCCUUCUGUGUGUGUGAAGGACCCUGUGCCGAAAGAUCGGGGACAUAC